rnacentral:misc_RNA from 1 species
AAGUCGUAACAAGGUUUCCGUAGGUGAACCUGCGGAAGGAUCAUUAUUGAAAACAAGGGUGUCCAAUUUAACUUGGAACCCAAACUUCUCAAUUCUAACUUUGUGCAUCUGUAUUAAUGGCGAGCAACUUCGGUUGUGAGCCUUCACUUACAAAACACUAGUCUAUGAAUGUAAAAUUUCUAUAACAAAUAAAAACUUUCAACAACGGAUCUCUUGGCUCUC